UUGGAUGUAGCCUAAUGGGUAAGGUAUCAUAAUUUGAGUAUGAGGUAUGUGGGUUCAAAUCCCUCCGUCCAAU
rfam:Conidiobolus coronatus NRRL 28638 unplaced genomic scaffold CONCOscaffold_420, whole genome shotgun sequence.